CUUGACAGAAUUUUGGGCUAGCCAAAAUGAUCCCGCUGUCGAUUCAAGUUCGCAACCGAAGGAGAUAAAAGUGUCGUUACCGAUUAAUUAAGGCUGCGUUUGCCUUUCGCCUCACUUCUUAAGACCAGAACAUUUCUGUAGAGUAAAUCGGACAUUUAUUGUCAGAACGGGUCGACUUAUUGCUUGCGUUUGUUCAGAGUACAUUGGAAGAGCAACUCGGGAAGAAGAAGAAAAAAAAAAUGAGGGCGGGACUGAUUAUUUCUCAAAAUCAUUCAGUGUCACCGUUGAUCACGUGCCAGGACUCAUUCUGGUCUCGCGAUGUCAAAAUGUGACUAGCGCGAUGACGAGGAUUCAAUUAGGAAUUUAUUGGCCCCAACAGC